rnacentral:rRNA from 1 species
AAAUUGAAGAGUUUGAUCAUGGCUCAGAUUGAACGCUGGCGGCAGGCCUAACACAUGCAAGUCGAACGGUAACAGGAAGCAGCUUGCUGCUUCGCUGACGAGUGGCGGACGGGUGAGUAAUGUCUGGGAAACUGCCUGAUGGAGGGGGAUAACUACUGGAAACGGUAGCUAAUACCGCAUAACGUCGCAAGACCAAAGAGGGGGACCUUCGGGCCUCUUGCCAUCGGAUGUGCCCAGAUGGGAUUAGCUAGUAGGUGGG